UACAGAGGUGGCAAGCGUUGUUCGGAAUUACUGGGCGUAAAGGGCGCGUAGGCGGUUCGUUAAGUCCUGUGUGAAAUCCCCCGGCUCAACUGGGGAACUGCACAGGAACUAGCGGGCUUGAGUUCGGGAGAGGGAAGCGGAAUUCCGGGUGUAGCGGUGAAAUGGCGUAGAGUAUCCGGAGGAACACCGGUGGCGAAGGCGGCUUCCUGGACCGACACUGACGGCUGAGGCGCGAAAGCUAGGGGGAGCAAACGGGAUU
rnacentral:rRNA from 1 species